GUCUCUAGCUGCUGCGGGAGCUCCAGGUCUAGUCUUUACUGCUCUGUGUAUUCUGCUCCUAGAGGCCCAGCCUCUGUGACUCCGUUAUCUGCAGGUAUUGGGAGAUGCACAGCUAAGAUGCCAGGACCACCUGGAAGCCUAGAAAUGGGACCACUGACAUUUAGGGAUGUGGCCAUAGAAUUCUCUCUGGAGGAGUGGCAAUGCCUGGACACUGCACAACGGAAUUUAUAUAGGAAAGUGAUGUUUGAGAACUACAGAAACCUGGUCUUCCUGGGUAUUGCUGUCUCUAAGCCUCACCUGAUAACCUGUUUGGAGCAAGGAAAAGAGCCCUGGAAUAGGAAGAGACAGGAGAUGGUAGCCAAACCCCCAGAAUCUCAUUCUGUCGCCCAGGCUGGAGUGCGGUGGUGUGAUCUCGACUCACUGCAACCUCUGCCUCCCGAGUUCAAGCAAUUCUCUUGCCUCAGCCUCUCGAGUAGCUGGGAUUACAGUUAUAUAUUCUCAUUUCACUGAAGACCUUUGGCCAGAGCAUAGCAUAAAAGAUUCUUUUCAAAAAGUGAUACUGAGAGGAUAUGGAAAAUGUGGACAUGAGAAUUUACAAUUAAGAAUAAGUUGUAAAAGUGUGGAUGAGUCUAAGGUGUUCAAAGAAGGUUAUAAUGAACUUAACCAAUGUUUGAGAACUACCCAGAGCAAAAUAUUUCAAUGUGAUAAAUACGUGAAAGUCUUUCAUAAAUUUUCAAAUUCAAACAGUCAUAAGAAAAGAAAUACUGGAAAGAAGGUUUUCAAAUGUAAAGAAUGUGGCAAAUCAUUUUGCAUGCUUUCACAUCUAACACAACAUAUAAGAAUUCACACUAGAGAGAAUUCUUACAAAUGUGAGGAAUGUGGCAAAGUUCUUAACUGGUUCUCAGAGCUUAUUAAACAUAAGGGAAUUCAUAUGGGAGAGAAACCCUACAAAUGUGAGGAAUGUGGCAAAGCCUUUAACCAAUCCUCAACCCUUAUUAAACAUAAGAAAAUUCAUAUUGAAGAGAAACCCUUCAAAUGUGAAGAAUGUGGCAAAGCCUUUAGUUUAUUCUCAAUCCUUAGUAAACAUAAGAUAAUUCAUACUGGAGACAAACCUUACAAAUGUGAUGAAUGUCACAAAGCCUUUAACUGGUUUGCAACCCUUACUAACCAUAAGAGAAUUCAUACUGGAGAGAAACCCUUCAAAUGUGAAGAAUGUGGCAAAGACUUUAACCAGUUUUCAAACCUUACUAAACAUAAGAAAAUUCAUACUGGAGAGAAACCCUACAAAUGUGAAGAAUGUGGCAAAGCUUUUAACCAGUUUGCAAACCUUACUAGACAUAAGAAAAUUCAUACUGGAGAGAAAUCCUACAAAUGUGAAGAAUGCGGCAAAGCUUUUAUACAGUCCUCAAACCUUACUGAACAUAUGAGAAUUCAUACUGGAGAGAAACCCUACAAAUGUGAAGAAUGUGGCAAAGCUUUUAAUGGGUGCUCCAGCCUUACUCGACAUAAGAGAAUUCACACUAGAGAGAAUACCUACAAAUGUGAAGAAUGUGGCAAAGGCUUUACUUUAUUUUCAACCCUUACUAACCAUAAAGUAAUUCAUACUGGAGAGAAAUCCUACAAAUGUGAUGAAUGUGGCAAUGUUUUUAACUGGCCUGCAACUCUUGCUAAUCAUAAGAGAAUUCAUGCUAGAGAGAAACCCUACAAAUGUGAAGAAUGUGGCAAAGCUUUUAACCGGUCCUCACACCUUACUAGACAUAAGAAAAUUCAUACUGGUGAGAAACUCUACAAACCUGAAAAAUGUGACAAUAAUUUUGAUAACACCUAAAACUUUUCUAAACAUAAAAGACACCAUCCUGUUGAGAAACCCUAAAAAUGUGAAGAAUUUGACAAAGCCUUCCAAUGAUUGUUACACUUGCUUGUAGACUUGGAAGAUCCCUGCUGUCCACUCUUAGAAUUGAAGCCACUUUUGCCCCUUCAUGAGGUGUUUUCUGAAACAUGCUGACGUUUCGAGGGCACUACAGCCUAAGCAAUAGGAGGAGGAGGAGGAAAAUGUGCUGGGCAACUGUACAUCCUUUCACAAUAAUCCCGUUGAAAGUCAUAGUCCAAGUCAAGAGAGGAGCUGAAUAGAGGCGAUGGAGAAGGGUGUUCUGUUACUGACCCAUACAUCGCUGCAGAUCAUUUCACACCUGCUUUUCCUCCGUUCACUUUUGGCUCUGCAGCCAGGUUAAUAUCUAAAACCUGGCCAGCAAUUAUUCUGCCCUUCUCUCUUCUACAGCAGCCGGGGCAUUUCUCUCAUUCACCUGUUGAACAAAGGCAAAGCCCUUAUGAACUGAGCAACCCACAAUUUUGCUGCACAUCGAAAAGAUUGCCUCCACAUCACACUUCUUGACCACAAGAGUGUUGAGAUUUCCAGUGAACACAUGGGAGUUCAUGGAGCGAGGAUCUGUUCUGUUGGUAACAUUGCUGGCCAUUGUGUUUGAUAAGGUUCCCACAAAGCCAAAAACAGGAGGAAGGAGGGAGAAGAGAUUCGAUUCUGAGUCUCCUACUCCCAGGUUCUACGUGGAGAAGCCAACUGCUGCUCGAGGUCGGCAACGUGGCCACAACCGCUCAGUCUUCGUCUCUUCACAAAAUCAGCCCCAUUACUUCUGACCAACAUCUCCUCCACUCCCAGCCCCAGACAAUCAUCAUUCUACCCUAUGCUUCUAUGAGUUUAAACCUUUUUAUACUCUACAUAGAAAUGAUAUUAUGAAAGUUUUUUUCUGUGCCGUCUUAUUUAGCAUCAUGUCCUCCAGGUUCAUCAAUGUUGUUGCAAAUAACAAGAGUUCCUUUUUUUUCCCCAUAGGGCUGAGUAGCAUUCCAUUGUGCAAAUAUAUCACAUUUUCUUUAUUUAUUAACCUGUUGAUGGACACUUAGGUUGCUUCCAUACCUUAGAUAUUGUGAGUAAUCCAUUUCCUUCCUUUUCUCUCAUUUGUUUUUAUAUCUUUUUUCCUUUUUUUAUAUCCAGGAGUAUUUUACUUUUAAAAUAUAAAUUAUGAAUGUUAAAUGCCUUCAUUUGAGCUUCAUUUGGGUCAUUAGCUGUGUUCCCAGGGGAAAUUAUUUUACAUCCUUGGUAUAAGAAUUAAAGAGAAGAGAAACACGAAGGGUGGCUUGACAGUCAACAGGGACAGGUUUAUUUUGAAUAAACCUAGGGGGGCAGCUGGCCGAGUUAGGUCAGAGCCACACUCUUUUACAGACUAAAAAUUUUUAAGGAUUCAGGGUGGGAGAGUUUAUCGGAGGCUUGGACUGCUUCUGUGUCUCUUCGUUGUGCUUAUCUGGGAGGGAGAGUUGUGUGUCUGUUCCCAUACAUCUUUCUGCAGCUGCAGGCACAGCCCCCCAGUCUGCUUUUAGCUUCCCAAUCUUAGUGCACCCGAAGGGAAAAGAAUGUGCCUAUUAAGGCCCACUGUUUUACUGGGGCCCAUUGUAUGAGGGUGAAGAUUGGCAGUUACUCAAGAGACUUUCCUUCCACCUCCCUCUGUGCCCGAGCUGGCUGUUUUUUGUUUGUUUUGUUUUUUUGAGACGGAGUCUCGCUGUGUCACCCAGGCCGGAGUGCAAUGGCGUGGUCUCCGCUCACUGCAACCUCCACCUCCUUGGUUCAAGCAAUUCCCCUGCCUCAGCCUCCCGAGCAGGCGCGCACACCACACCCGGUUAAUUUUUUGUGUUUUUGGUAGAGAUGGGGUUUCGCUAUGAUGGCCAGGCUGGUCUCGAACUCCUGACCUCGUGAUCUGCCCGCUUCGGCCUCCCAAAAUGUUGGGAUUACAGGCGUCAGCCACCGUGCCCACCUGAGCUGUCUUACCUGUAUUUUACUGUCUGCUCUUUCUGGAUGCUUGUAAUUAGAAGAGAAGUGAUUUCCUUGAAAUGCAUGAGGCUAGAAAGGGAGCUAGAACUUAAAGUGGCAGUGUUUGUCUGAGUUGAUGGUGCUCCUGCUCUAUCACUUGGAGCUUCAAUCUUCAUUAUUAAUAAAAAAUACUAUUUCCCCCAGGGCUGUUUUAAUUCAUACAUGGUAGCUGUAAGUAUUUUUCACUGAAAGCCUUGUCUGAAUAUAGUACAGUAAAUAUUUAAAAAUAAGAACAAAAUCAUUUAUAUUUCAAAGAUCCUUUAUUAUAGUUUAGUGGGUGUAUUUUGUUAUAUUUAAUGUAUUUAUUCUUUCCAAAAAAUGCCAAAAUAAAAAUGUUAUUAUUUUUUCUGGAA